GACGAACGCUGGCGGCGUGCUUAACACAUGCAAGUCGAACGGUAAGGCUCCAGCUUGCUGGGGUACACGAGUGGCGAACGGGUGAGUAACACGUGGGUGACCUGCCCUGCACUUCGGGAUAAGCCUGGGAAACUGGGUCUAAUACCGGAUAGGACUGCACCGUGAGGGUGUGGUGGAAAGUUUUUUCGGUGUGGGAUGGGCCCGCGGCCUAUCAGCUUGUUGGUGGGGUAAUGGCCUACCAAGGCGGCGACGGGUAGCCGGCCUGAGAGGGUGGACGGCCACAUUGGGACUGAGACACGGCCCAGACUCCUACGGGAGGCAGCAGUGGGGAAUAUUGCACAAUGGGCGGAAGCCUGAUGCAGCGACGCCGCGUGGGGGAUGACGGCCUUCGGGUUGUAAACUCCUUUCACCAUCGACGAAGGGUUUCUGACGGUAGAUGGAGAAGAAGCACCGGCUAACUACGUGCCAGCAGCCGCGGUAAUACGUAGGGUGCGAGCGUUGUCCGGAAUUACUGGGCGUAAAGAGCUCGUAGGUGGUUUGUCGCGUCGUCUGUGAAAUUCCGGGGCUUAACUCCGGGCGUGCAGGCGAUACGGGCAUAACUUGAGUACUGUAGGGGAGACUGGAAUUCCUGGUGUAGCGGUGAAAUGCGCAGAUAUCAGGAGGAACACCGGUGGCGAAGGCGGGUCUCUGGGCAGUAACUGACGCUGAGGAGCGAAAGCAUGGGGAGCGAACAGGAUUAGAUACCCUGGUAGUCCAUGCCGUAAACGGUGGGCGCUAGGUGUGGGUUUCCUUCCACGGGAUCCGUGCCGUAGCUAACGCAUUAAGCGCCCCGCCUGGGGAGUACGGCCGCAAGGCUAAAACUCAAAGGAAUUGACGGGGGCCCGCACAAGCGGCGGAGCAUGUGGAUUAAUUCGAUGCAACGCGAAGAACCUUACCUGGGCUUGACAUAUACAGGAUCGCGCCAGAGAUGGUGUUUCCCUUGUGGCUUGUAUACAGGUGGUGCAUGGUUGUCGUCAGCUCGUGUCGUGAGAUGUUGGGUUAAGUCCCGCAACGAGCGCAACCCUUGUCUUAUGUUGCCAGCACGUUGUGGUGGGGACUCGUAAGAAACUGCCGGGGUUAACUCGGAGGAAGGUGGGGAUGACGUCAAAUCAUCAUGCCCCUUAUGUCCAGGGCUUCACACAUGCUACAAUGGUCGGUACAGUGGGUUGCCAGUCCGUGAGGGCGAGCUAAUCCCGCAAAGCCGGUCUCAGUUCGGAUCGGGGUCUGCAACUCGACCCCGUGAAGUCGGAGUCGCUAGUAAUCGCAGAUCGGCAACGCUGCGGUGAAUACGUUCCCGGGCCU
rnacentral:rRNA from 1 species